AAAACAGGGAAAAACGAAUCGAAACCAACGUAGGCAAUAUGGAUGGAAAAAGUGUUCUGGUAGCCGAUAAUCUUGAUGCCGAAUCAAACGCAUUUUGUCGCCUUUGUGUGGAGUAUACUACGGAGCAAACACUAUUCGUUUCCAGUGCCGCAAUCGCUACCUUGUUCAAACGAAUAUUUGAGUGCACCGGUGUGCGGCUGAUAGAGUCGCCUGGCUUGCCGAAACGAAUUUGCGAUGUGUGCACAUCCCAGCUUGUAAUUUGUGAACGAUUCAUCAAGAAGUGUCGCGAGGCGGAUCAAAAAUGCGUCGAUUGGCGAAGCAAACGAGCAGCUGCACUGGUUGGCAAUCUUACUCCAGCUCCGGUAGCUCCGGGACAACAAUCAAAGCAAGAAUGUAAUACAAUGAAAUUAGAGAAGCUAGUAAAUGUAAACCCAACAGAUGGUAAAAGCGAAGAAGAGUUGUAUGUGGUUGAAGUUAUAGAUACACAUCAGGAAUACGAAAUUGAUAUCUCCGACAAUCAGGAUGUACCUGAAGAGGGCAUUGUAAAGCAGAAGAAAAAGGACGUACCCGUAGAAAUACAUAUCGGACAAAAUGCUACGACACUUAACAAAAAAGAGAAUAGGACUAGGGUAUCAAAAACACAAUGUCCUGAGUGCGGUAAAAUGCAGCAAAAUUUGAAGCAGCAUAUGCUUGUCCAUACAGGCGAAAAACGACACGUUUGCCCGUACUGCUCUAAAGCAUUCUCACAGAAAGGUAAUCUUACGCACCACAUAAACCAGCAUACGGGAAAUGCGCCGUACAAAUGCGAUCAGUGCGGUAAAUCCUUCACGGAUCCACAGUCAUUGCGUUCGCACAAGCUAGUACACACGGAUGAGCGCAGGUACGGCUGUGAAGAAUGUGGUGAUACAUUCAAGUACAAAAAUUCGCUUGCUGUGCACUUACGUGGACAUAAUCAGGACAUGAGAUUCUCGUGCGACAAAUGUAGGAGAUCAUUUAUUUCCAGCACGGGUCUCAAAAAGCAUAUGCGAACACACACCGGAGAACGACCCUACCCAUGCACGGAUUGUAAUAAAACGUUCAAAACGUCGAGCAAUCUGAGCUUGCACAAACUUUUGCACACAAAAGAACGACGCUUUCAGUGCGAUAUCUGCGAGAGGUGGUUUAGCUACAAGCAUGUCUUGAAGACGCACAUGAAUAUCCACCUGCGGGAGCGAAAUGGCGGACAAACGGAACGGCAAGAUGAUAUUGAAGGGUAACGAGGGGUAACGGGUAAACAUGUGCCAAAAACAUGAGGCGCGAAAAAAUAAUCCUCCAACAAUCAAAUGAUAUCGCCCAACCGGUUCCGUUAUCUCUCUUUCUUCGAAACACCCUUAGCGUUUGUUGAAGGAUGGUUGCGUUUCCGCGAACCGUAUCACCUGUAAAAACCUUCGAUUGUAUGGCAGUAGAUAUGCAAGACCGGAACAGGCGUGGGAAAAGCGCAAUGAAAUUGUACCCAUGUCGGCACGUUUGUUACGUUGGCCAAUGCUAAUUGUGCAAUAUGGUUUCACGGUGUGACCCGCAAGCAGUAUAAAAGACACUUCAGCGGCGUGCGAUGAGCCGUGUCCUCCCACACCGAAACACUACAGCGAACUUGGCUGCAAGCCAGUUCUAGAGGAAGGUCAAUGCUGCCCGAAACGGUA